CAUCUUUUUAUUGCACAACAAUGACUCAUUUUGUUAGGAACGCUUUAACAACAUUUCCACCAACCGACAGACCAGCUUAUUGAGAGAGACCAGAGCCUGGCUCUGAGUUCUGGACCAGCUGAGAGAGAGAGAGAGUAGGACAGCCGUAUACCCUGUCCCAAAGCCACCUUUAGGUCCUACCCCUAUUGCACGUAUGUUCAUCUGAAAGGAUUGGGUAGGUGGAAGUAUUGUGGUGGAUGUUCCAGCAAGCCUAUCAAAGGAAAGAGUGGAGCUAUUACCAUAUUGAGUACAUCUAUCCACUCCUUGCAGAUAGUCACUAUAUGUGAAGUACUUAGGAGUAGGGGUUAUUGGUCAGUUUGGGGUUGGACAGCUAGAUAUCAGCUCAGACAGAGUGCAGUAUGGAGUUCAGUGGAGUGUCAAAAUACUUUAACCCUUACAGACCCAAACACAAGCUGAACCUGAGGGGCUUUAAGACAACCUCAAUGGGGAGCGACAAACAUUGAGUGACAACGAGAGAAAUUUGUUUUGUUUUUUCAUUGCCAGAUGAGGAUAAACCCACAGUGGCUGGAAUAUAGAAUUCCACUUGAGUUCUGAGAACCUUUGCACUGAAACCACUGUUAGGAAGGCUAGCUGCAGUGAUCUAGAAUCUCUUUUGUCAAAAGAUUCCAAAAUAAACUGCUUUUUCAGAUGGCAGCUCUCAGAUUGCAAUUGUGUCUGUUUCUGCUUGAGUGGGCCUGAAGAUCUAGCUUGGUGAUCUCAAGUGGGACCAACAAUGUAGAAGGAAAGGCACAGGUACACACACACACACGCGCGCACACACACACACACGCGCGCCCGCCCGCCCACACACACACACACACACACACUAUACAGAGAGUCCUAAAAGCAGAGAGAAGGCUUAGAUAAGAAGGCUACAGUAGCUACAACACUAAGAUAUAAUAAUUGUCAGACUAGUUGACAUUUUAAAUAAUUGUCGUUGGUUACACAGAAAUGUCUAGAUUUGAAGGUCCCACAAGGAAUUAUCAACCAAACAUCCCCUCUAGGUCAGAUGCAAAUACAUUGGUUCGUCAAACAGACAGAUAUGAGAAACAGGAAUCAAGCUUGGUCCUGCUGCUGCUCCCCUGGUCUUCAGAUGAACAGUUUUGGGGUGUCCAUUUUCAUUUGAAUGAUUCUUGAUUUGAGUUCAGUUGUCCACAAACACUGUUUGUUGUCUGAGGUGAUAUCUAGACGGCGUAAACUCCACGAAAGAGCUUGUUUUGAGUUCACCCUCUCAUUGUAGAAAAUGUUUGGAUUACACCAGAUUGUGGUACAAACACGACAAUGUGCCUCCAUAACUCUGUGUAUGUCACACAUACAGUAGAUGAGUAGAGUACAGAGCGCAUGGUGUUUGAAGGCUCAAACCAACAAAAAUGUGUAAUUUUGUGUUUCCCAAACCAGGGAAAUUGAUAUAUACUGACAUUGUCAUUUUAAUUCAGAAGUACUAGUCUUUAGCUAACAUUUGUACAUAUAUUGCAAGUUGAAAAUAAAAACACAUAUUUGCACUUCUACAAGCAUGUACAUACCACAAAAAUAGACUAUGUGGAAACUAGAUAUACAAGGCACAAGGUACAGUAUAUGCUGUCCAUGUGCGUUGGGGAAAACUGUAAACAAAAACAACAACAAAACAAACAAACAAAAAAGACGUAUGGAAACAGAAACAUAAAAUACACUGAUAUGCUAAGACAUCAACACUAAGGUAUUCAGUACCCUUAAUAUCUUUCAUAUCUGGUACGGCAAGAAUUUGAGAUUUUAAACUGAGAUAACCGUCUCUCAAUAAUCGUUGGUUGGUUUCAAGCAUAUGUGGGGAAUCUCACUUGCAUUCCAUUGCAAGUCUCUUUUUCACAGAGAACAAAAGCAACAGUAAAUGAACAGUAAGACUUUACUUGAAUACGCCAUCUUAAAACCUGCAUAACACUGUCUUAUACAUAACAGAUGCAAGGGACUCAAGAAAAUUCACUGAGGUGCCAUUCAUUGAUCAAGAGUCAUGCUGGGUGCAUGGGAACUCUUGCACGGAAACAGAGAUGAUAUUGCCUGAACAUAGCAAUUUUUUCUCUGCCCUUCUUUUUUUCACUGCAGGUGGACAAUCAUUCAAAUCUUUACAAAUGAUAUCAGCACAGUCCUUAUAGCAGCUUUGUAGGGCAAACUCGGGUAUUAGCACAUACAAGGAAUAGGUAAGAGGACCAAUUGAUUGCAAUGACACAGCAUUGAAGCGCACAACUGGAGUUCACUCAUUUGGACUUAACUCCUUCAUAAUUGUAUAGGCAUUUUGCCAUGCACUUUUCCUAUGGGAGAAAACAAGCAGUCAUUAUAGUAAUAUGUUGGGGACUAUGAUCUGACUUCAAAUAUGUGACAGUUAAAAAUGAUAGGCUCAAAGCAUUAGAUGUUGAUGUGGCUCAGAAUAUAAGUGAUAAACUUGUCUAUAAUAAUAAUUGCUAUCGAGUGAUCCAGAGCUUAUGUGAAAUUUAGGUCAAAUCAAUAGUGAACCAAUGAGGGAUCAAUAAAACCAUACAGAUGUACAGUAACUGUAGCUAGGUCAAACCAAUAGUGAACCAAUGAGGGAUCAAUAAAACCAUACAGAUGUACAGUAACUGUAGCUAGGUCAAAUCAAUAGUGAACCAAUGAGGGAUCAAUAAAACCAUACAGAUGUACAGUAACUGUAGCUAGGUCAAAUCAAUAGUGAACCAAUGAGGGAUCAAUAAAACCAUACAGAUGUACAGUAACUGUAGCUAGGUCAAAUCAAUAGUGAACCAAUGAGGGAUCAAUAAAACCAUACAGAUGUACAGUAACUGUAGCUAGGUCAAAUCAAUAGUGAACCAAUGAGGGAUCAAUAAAACCAUACAGAUGUACAGUAACUGUAGCUAGGUCAAAUCAAUAGUGAACCAAUAAGGGAUCAAUAAAACCAUACAGAUGUACAGUAACUGUAGCUAGGUCAAAUCAAUAGUGAACCAAUAAGGGAUCAAUAAAACCAUACAGAUGUACAGUAACUGUAGCUAGGUCAAAUCAAUAGUGAACCAAUGAGGGAUCAAUAAAACCAUACAGAUGUACAGUAACUGUAGCUAGGUCAAAUCAAUAGUGAACCAAUAAGGGAUCAAUAAAACCAUACAGAUGUACAGUAACUGUAGCUAGGUCAAAUCAAUAGUGAACCAAUGAGGGAUCAAUAAAACCAUACAGAUGUACAGUAACUGUAGCUAGGUCAAAUCAAUAGUGAACCAAUAAGGGAUCAAUAAAACCAUACAGAUGUACAGUAACUGUAGCUAGGUCAAAUCAAUAGUGAACCAAUGAGGGAUCAAUAAAACCAUACAGAUGUACAGUAACUGUAGCUAGGUCAAACCAAUAGUGAACCAAUGAGGGAUCAAUAAAACCAUACAGAUGUACAGUAACUGUAGCUAGGUCAAACCAAUAGUGAACCAAUGAGGGAUCAAUAAAACCAUACAGAUGUACAGUAACUGUAGCUAGGUCAAACCAAUAGUGAACCAAUGAGGGAUCAAUAAAACCAUACAGAUGUACAGUAACUGUAGCUAGGUCAAAUCAAUAGUGAACCAAUAAGGGAUCAAUAAAACCAUACAGAUGUACAGUAACUGUAGCUAGGUCAAAUCAAUAGUGAACCAAUGAGGGAUCAAUAAAACCAUACAGAUGUACAGUAACUGUAGCUAGGUCAAAUCAAUAGUGAACCAAUGAGGGAUCAAUAAAACCAUACAGAUGUACAGUAACUGUAGCUAGGUCAAAUCAAUAGUGAACCAAUAAGGGAUCAAUAAAACCAUACAGAUGUACAGUAACUGUAGCUAGGUCAAAUCAAUAGUGAACCAAUGAGGGAUCAAUAAAACCAUACAGAUGUACAGUAACUGUAGCUAGGUCAAAUCAAUAGUGAACCAAUGAGGGAUCAAUAAAACCAUACAGAUGUACAGUAACUGUAGCUAGGUCAAAUCAAUAGUGAACCAAUGAGGGAUCAAUAAAACCAUACAGAUGUACAGUAACUGUAGCUAGGUCAAAUCAAUAGUGAACCAAUGAGGGAUCAAUAAAACCAUACAGAUGUACAGUAACUGUAGCUAGGUCAAAUCAAUAGUGAACCAAUGAGGGAUCAAUAAAACCAUACAGAUGUACAGUAACUGUAGCUAGGUCAAAUCAAUAGUGAACCAAUAAGGGAUCAAUAAAACCAUACAGAUGUACAGUAACUGUAGCUAGGUCAAAUCAAUAGUGAACCAAUGAGGGAUCAAUAAAACCAUACAGAUGUACAGUAACUGUAGCUAGGUCAAAUCAAUAGUGAACCAAUGAGGGAUCAAUAAAACCAUACAGAUGUACAGUAACUGUAGCUAGGUCAAAUCAAUAGUGAACCAAUAAGGGAUCAAUAAAACCAUACAGAUGUACAGUAACUGUAGCUAGGUCAAAUCAAUAGUGAACCAAUGAGGGAUCAAUAAAACCAUACAGAUGUACAGUAACUGUAGCUAGGUCAAAUCAAUAGUGAACCAAUAAGGGAUCAAUAAAACCAUACAGAUGUACAGUAACUGUAGCUAGGUAAAACCAAUAGUGAACCAAUAAGGGAUCAAUAAAACCAUACAGAUGUACAGUAACUGUAGCUAGGUCAAAUCAAUAGUGAACCAAUAAGGGAUCAAUAAAACCAUACAGAUGUACAGUAACUGUAGCUAGGUCAAAUCAAUAGUGAACCAAUAAGGGAUCAAUAAAACCAUACAGAUGUACAGUAACUGUAGCUAGGUCAAAUCAAUAGUGAACCAAUAAGGGAUCAAUAAAACCAUACAGAUGUACAGUAACUGUAGCUAGGUCAAAUCAAUAGUGAACCAAUAAGGGAUCAAUAAAACCAUACAGAUGUACAGUAACUGUAGCUAGGUCAAAUCAAUAGUGAACCAAUAAGGGAUCAAUAAAACCAUACAGAUGUACAGUAACUGUAGCUAGGUCAAAUCAAUAGUGAACCAAUAAGGGAUCAAUAAAACCAUACAGAUGUACAGUAACUGUAGCUAGGUCAAAUCAAUAGUGAACCAAUAAGGGAUCAAUAAAACCAUACAGAUGUACAGUAACUGUAGCUAGGUCAAAUCAAUAGUGAACCAAUAAGGGAUCAAUAAAACCAUACAGAUGUACAGUAACUGUAGCUAGGUCAAAUCAAUAGUGAACCAAUAAGGGAUCAAUAAAACCAUACAGAUGUACAGUAACUGUAGCUAGGUCAAAUCAAUAGUGAACCAAUAAGGGAUCAAUAAAACCAUACAGAUGUACAGUAACUGUAGCUAGGUCAAAUCAAUAGUGAACCAAUAAGGGAUCAAUAAAACCAUACAGAUGUACAGUAACUGUAGCUAGGUCAAAUCAAUAGUGAACCAAUAAGGGAUCAAUAAAACCAUACAGAUGUACAGUAACUGUAGCUAGGUCAAAUCAAUAGUGAACCAAUAAGGGAUCAAUAAAACCAUAC